GUGUGAGUCCUGGAGUGGGCAUUGUGGUUGCAGAUGGUUAAGCAACCCCUCUGAUGUCUGCAUCCCAUAUUGAAGUGCCUGGUUUAAGUCCUAGCUACUCCGCUUCUUAUCCAACUUAAUGUGCAUCCUAGGAGGCAGUGGGUGAUGGCUCAAGUAUUUUAGUCCAUGUCACCCAAUGAGAAACCUGAUGGUUUUCUGGGCUUCUGAUGCAAGUCUGGCACAGGCCCAGCUACUGCAAGAGUGAACCACUGAGUGGAAGACUUUCCCUCUCUUUCUCUCUCUCUCUCUCUCCCCCUCUCUUUCCCUUCCUCCUUCCCUUCUUCUCCAUACACAUACUCUAUCUCUCUCACUUUGACUUUCAAAUAACUAACCAAAUACACAUUUUAAAAUAGCAUGUAUUAGUCCUUUCUUGUUCUCAGUUUUAGCCUUGAUUCUAGGACAAGAAGAGUCAUUCUAUUAAAUAUGCGUAAUUCUGAAUCAUGUCAGUAAUUGCUAAAUGGAGCCAUGUGUUGAAUAAGUUCAACAGGAAGAAGAGAAAAGAGGGCCUCAGGCAGCCAGGCAUGAUGAAGAGCAAGGUCAAUAAAGACAAAUGGGUUUUAAUCAGGAAGGAAGUGAAAGGUUCCCUAGGCAGAGGCAUGGGAACAAGCUUUAUAACAAAUAGGGUUUGGUAAACUGAAAACAGAGUACAGUGGCCAAUUGAGUCUGUGGAGGAGGAGGAAACCAUGGUUAUAGAGACCACUUGGAGCCAGAGAAGGGAGUAAAUCCACUGUAGAGCUUACAGGAGAAAGUGCAAUGAUAAUGACUUCCAGUAAGAAGGAGUAUGGGGAAGAAAGCAGAGAAAACAGUUAAGAGACUCCUGCCUGGCCUGCAUAGAGAUAUAACAGCUGGCUUUCAGGAAGGGCAGAAAUGGACAGGAGGAACCUCUGGGAGAAAGAUUCUCAGAAAGAGCCUGGUAAAGACCAGGCUGUGGGGAUUUUGGUUUUGUACAAUCCAACUAAAAAUUCCUUGUAUAUUUCCAUGUCACUUCUCUCAGUUUCUCCAGUGUUCAAAAAACUAGCUGGGCAGACUGUUGUGUGUUACAGAUCAGUAGCAUGCACUUUGAAGUGUGCAGCAGCAAGUUGAAAUCCUAACUCUGUCAUUGUCUUGCUCUUUAGUCUUGAGCAAGGUAUUUGUUUUACAUCUGUAAGUGAGAAAUGAUGCCCCAGGACUGAGAGGUUGUCCUUUGACUUGAACAAGGUAAUAGGGGAAAGUGCAUGGCUAGCUUUGUAACUUGACCUCCUUAUCCAACCAAUAAACUCUCUUGGUAUGCAGAUUCA
rnacentral:lncRNA from 1 species